rnacentral:lncRNA from 1 species
UUUUCACUGCACGGAAUUGUUAGACCUCCCAUUGGAUGACUGAAGCCAAAUUCUUCCUCUGCUCGUCUCAACAAAUCUUGAAACGAAGGGUGAUUCAGGUACGAUAAGGGAACCACAUACCUUUUCCUCUGAACUCUCUCUCCUACGUAAACUGCCAGGUGGCCCUUAGGCACAUCUGAUUGAUUUUUGUUGAGAAAGGAUUGUAGCUUGUAGAAUUGCUUGGCAUUCGAAAUCAACGAUGGUAAGCGAAUAAUAGCCAUAUCUUGUUUUGAGGGUUUGAUUUGUUUACUCUGGAUUUAGCUCUAGUUGUUGUUGCACUGUGAAUUCUUGAAGAUUGAGGAUGCCUAUUUAUAUACAAAUAUUUACUUAUUAAUUUAUGCAUAAUAUUUAUAUAUAUUAUAAUUGCUAGAGCUGGAAUUUGGGGGCUCUGAUACUUUUUAAGAGGGGGUCUACAUUACCAAGGAGGUGCACAUGGCUUCUGUCACGAAAUUCCCAAAAAAAGAAAAAAGAAAAAAAUAAAGUUUCUUAUCCAUAGAUCAUCUUCACAUGGUUUAGGAAUCCCACUUGCACCUUUCAAGUUUAUAUCAUGAAUCUAAAUAUGCUUUUAUUACAGGUUCCGGAUAAAAAGGGGCAACAUAUAACCCGGAGUUGCUUAACCGUUUACAUGGUAUGUUCUAAAUAUUUGUGUAAUGAUUUGAAUUUAAUUAUAUAAAUCUUUUUGAUGGGUCCAAGUAUUUUUAAUCCACCUACCAGCAUAAUAUGCCCCCACCUUUUGUUGCAACUGUUAUAGAGGAUAGAUUUCCUUCAUUUUGAAAAGCAGUUAUAUGACUCAUUGGCCUUGCCCACCGUAUUUCAUUUCUGGUAUGUCUUAUUCUUAAUAAAAUAUUUUAAUCGUAAGUUUUGAUAAUAAAUUGAUUUACUAUCUAUUAUUUGUGGACAAUUUAGGGUCCAUAUAGUAAUUGUAGGGCCGGAGUUGGCUCUUACCCUCCUUACAAGAAUGGUACAUCUGCAUGCAUUAUUCAGGUCAGGGUUCGUUUAACUUAAUAUUACUAUCCCGAACUUGUGAGGAUUUAAUUUCGUUUUAGUGCGUCACCAUUGCCCAUGGUUUUAAUUUGUCUUGAUCAUGUCACGACUUGAUUAUAUAUAAAAAAAUCAGUAAAUUAACAGACGGGCUUUUAACAUGAUAUAAUCGUAAGUUUAAGCUAGCAAUGACAGAAUUUUAGUUUCAUUUUUAAGAAGUGGUGGAUUAUAUGAAUCUGUGAGCUGACAAGUUGGAUGAAAAUAUAAUUCUUUUCGUAAUAUCUACAUACCGCAUGUGGCAUAUUUAUUAGCUAAUGUAUAUAUGGAUAUAACAAUUGGUUUAAGACUUGAGAGCGGAGUCGUAUAUUUAUCGUAAACAUACGCGAUUUGUAUGGGCUGUUCUCAUAAUAGAAAACUAAAUAAAUAUUAGUAUAAUGUGGAUGGAUGGGUUUGGUUUAAAUUUAAGAAGAUGAGGCAGCUGCACGAUAUGAUAUCACCCUUGUCUCUUAAUCCUCCUUUUUUUUUUGUUUAUUUAAAGUGAGUUUUUGGUGUCGAUCACGCAUAAUAUGUAUAUAUAAUAUAUAUCUUUCUGGCAACUGCAUUUCGAUUUUAAUAUCACUAACUUUGCAGCUAGAAAAAAUAAGUCAGAAAUAAACACGGUCGUAAUAAAAUUUGAAGUUUAAAAAUAGCCUUGAAGUUAUUCUAUGAAUUAACUACCUAUUUCACUAGAAGUGUGUGUUUGAUCCUCUUCCCUUUUUUUUUCUUUUUUUUUUCUUUUUUUUUUUUUGGGUAAAUUACAAUCACCCCCAUAUAUGGUCAAAUUACGAAAACCCCCCUCCCGUUUUGGUAAUUACAACCACCCCUCAACUAUAAAUCUUUUUACACGUCCACCCUUGCGAUUUCAAUUUAGUGGAAUCUUCUAGAUUAUACAGAAUACUCUCAAUUUUGGACCCGUUUUAUCCCAUUCGAGCUCCACAUUUUGAAGCUAGAUGAUCAUAAGGACGUGUUUUUUGGCCUGUUGUAUAUCAGAUUCUGGUGCAUCAGAAACUGUAUUUUUGCACAAAACGAGUACAAACUAGAGAACGUUCCACGGAAUCUAGAUGAUUAUGUUGAAUUUGACACUUAAGAAUGGAGAUGUCAGAAGUUUAUAGUUGAUGGGUAUAAGUAAUUUUUCAAAUAUUGAAGGGUUUUUUCAUAAUUCGACCAUACCUCAGGGGUGGUUGUAAUUUACCCUUUUUUUCGUUUUUUUACCUUUUGUGCUUCAAGCAUAUUCUUUGAUCCUUGCGUUAUUGUGUUCUUGAGUUCUUGAGUUGAGGCAAUCAUCUUCCCCAAUUGUCAAUCAAAAAAAUCAAAUAAACGCCCACUGUUUUCCUCAUCUGUCAUACACAAAUUGAUGAUAUAAUAAAAAAAUAAAUGAAAAAAAUCUGUUAUACAUAUAUAUAUAUAUAUAUAUAUAUAUAUUAAUAUUUAUUAAUUAUUAUUUGAAAUAAUAAAAAUAUCCAUUUGUAGCUAGUGAAGUGACAAGACCUAUUUUCUCUAACUAACCCAGCAUUUAAAUGUCCUUGACCAUACCUUACAGCGCACCCACACACACAACACACAGUGUGGAUGUCUGCAUGUCCUUU